GCCUUAUGAAAUUUUCGAGUUGAAAAUUUUUUAAAAUUUUUUUUCUGAUUUUUUAUUCUUUUUUUAAUUUAAAGGAUUAUUUGAGUGAAAAGAAACUUAUUGCAACAAAUUCGCAUUAAAAUAUAUCACAUUUAAAAAUUUUGCUACAUUGCUCAAAAAUGAGGAAAAUUUAACAUUUUUUCAAACAGGGUAUGGAACUUGGUUCUUCGAAUAACUUCUGGCACAGACAUCUGAGGGCAUGGCCGUCCAAGAUGAAAAUGUAGCCAUUGAUGCCAUCUAUCGACCACAGGUUAAAGAUUGGAGAUCCGUUGGAUACCGACCGAGUUAUAGGCAAAAGUUGGUGCAAAAAUGAGGAAAAUUUUACAUUUUUUCAAACAGGGUAUGGAACUUGGUUCCUCGAAUAACUUCUGGCACAGACAUCUGAGGGCAUGGCCGUCCAAGAAGAAAAUGUAGCCCUUGGUGCCAUCUAUCGACCACAGGUUAAAGAUUGGAGAUCUGUUGGAUACCGACCGAGUUAUAGGCAAAAGUUGGUGCAAAAAUGAGGAAAAUUUUACAUUUUUUCAAACAGGGUAUGGAACUUGGUUCCUCGAAUAACUUCUGGCACAGACAUCUGAGGGCAUGGCCAUCCAAGAAGAAAAUGUAGCCAUUGAUGCCAUCUAUCGACCACAGGCUAAAGAUUGGCGAUGCGUUGGAUACCGACCGAGUUAUAGGCAAAAGUUGGUGCAAAAAUGAGGAAAAUUUAACAUUUUCUCAAACAGGGUAAGGAACUUGGUUUCUCGAAUAACUUCUAGCACAGACAUCUGAGGGCAUGGCCGUCCAAGAAGAAAAUGUAGCCAUUGAUGCCAUCUAUCGACCACAGGUUAAAGAUUGGAGAUCCGUUAGAUACCGACCGAGUUAUAGGCAAAAGUUGGAGCAAAAAUGAGCCUUAAUAAAUUUUCAUUUUUUUGAAUUUUUUGAUUUUUUCAUUAUUUUUCACUUUUUUUUUUAUUUGAAACAUUAUUUGAGUGAAAAGUAACUCAUUACAACCAAUUGGCAUCAAAAUAAAACAAUUUAAAUUUUUUUGCAAAAUUUUCCAAAAAAAUCGUAAGGGGUAAGCCUUAUGAAAUUUUCGAGUUGAAAAUUUUUUAAAAUUUUUUUUCUGAUUUUUUAUUCUUUUUUUAAUUUAAAGGAUUAUUUGAGUGAAAAGAAACUUAUUGCAACAAAUUCGCAUUAAAAUAUAUCACAUUUAAAAAUUUUGCUACAUUGCUCAAAAAUGAGGAAAAUUUAACAUUUUUUCAAACAGGGUAUGGAACUUGGUUCUUCGAAUAACUUCUGGCACAGACAUCUGAGGGCAUGGCCGUCCAAGAAGAAAAUGUAGCCAUUGAUGCCAUCUAUCGACCACAGGUUAAAGAUUGGAGAUCCGUUGGAUACCGACCGAGUUAUAGGCAAAAGUUGGUGCAAAAAUGAGGAAAAUUUUACAUUUUUUCAAACAGGGUAUGGAACUUGGUUCCUCGAAUAACUUCUGGCACAGACAUCUGAGGGCAUGGCCGUCCAAGAAGAAAAUGUAGCCCUUGGUGCCAUCUAUCGACCACAGGUUAAAGAUUGGAGAUCCGUUGGAUACCGACCGAGUUAUAGGCAAAAGUUGGUGCAAAAAUGAGCCCUAAUAAAUUUUCAUUUUUUUGAAUUUUUUGAUUUUUUCAUUAUUUUUCACUCUUUUUUUUAUUUGAAACAUUAUUUGAGUGAAAAGUAACUCAUUGCAACCAAUUGGCAUCAAAAUAAAGCAAUUUAAAUUUUUUUGCAAAAUUUCCCAAAAAAAUUGUAAGGGGUAAGCCUUAUGAAAUUUUCGAGUUGAAAAUUUUUUAAAUUUUUUUUUCUGAUUUUUUAUUCUUUUUUUAAUUUAAAGCAUUAUUUGAGUGAAAAGAAACUUAUUGCAACAAAUUCCCAUUAAAAUAUAUCACAUUUAAAAAUUUUGCUACAUUGCUCAAAAAUGAGGAAAAUUUAACAUUUUUUCAAACAGGGUAUGGAACUUGGUUCCUCGAAUAACUUCUGGCACAGACAUCUGAGGGCAUGGCCGUCCAAGAAGAAAAUGUAGCCAUUGAUGCCAUCUAUCGACCACAGGUUAAAGAUUGGAGAUCCGUUGGAUACCGACCGAGUUAUAGGCAAAAGUUGGUGCAAAAAUGAGCCUGAAUAAAUUUUCAUUUUUUUGAAUUUUUUGAUUUUUUCAUUAUUUUUCACUCUUUUUUUUAUUUGAAACAUUAUUUGAGUGAAAAGUAACUCAUUACAACCAAUUGGCAUCAAAAUAAAACAAUUUAAAUUUUUUUGCAAAAUUUCCCAAAAAAAUCGUAAGGGGUAAGCCUUAUGAAAUUUUCGAGUUGAAAAUUUUUUAAAAAUUUUUUUCUGAUUUUUUAUUCUUUUUUUAAUUUAAAGCAUUAUUUGAGUGAAAAGAAACUUAUUGCAACAAAUUCCCAUUAAAAUAUAUCACAUUUAAAAAUUUUGCUACAUUGCUCAAAAAUGAGGAAAAUUUAACAUUUUUUCAAACAGGGUAUGGAACUUGGUUCCUCGAAUAACUUCUGGCACAGACAUCUGAGGGCAUGGCCGUCCAAGAAGAAAAUGUAGCCAUUGAUGCCAUCUAUCGACCACAGGUUAAAGAUUGGAGAUCCGUUGGAUACCGACCGAGUUAUAGGCAAAAGUUGGUGCAAAAAUGAGGAAAAUUUUACAUUUUCUCAAACAGGGUAAGGAACUUGGUUCCUCGAAUAUCUUCUGGCACAGACAUCUGAGGGCAUGGCCGUCCAAGAAGAAAAUGUAGCCAUUGAUGCCAUCUAUCGACCACAGGUUAAAGAUUGGAGAUCCGUUAGAUACCGACCGAGUUAUAGGCAAAAGUUGGAGCAAAAAUGAGCCUUAAUAAAUUUUCAUUUUUUUGAAUUUUUUGAUUUUUUCAUUAUUUUUCACUCUUUUUUUUAUUUGAAACAUUAUUUGAGUGAAAAGUAACUCAUUGCAACCAAUUGGCAUCAAAAUAAAACAGUUUAAAUUUUUUUGCAAAAUUUCCCAAAAAAAUCGUAAGGGGUAAGCCUUAUGAAAUUUUCGAGUAGAAAUUUUUUUAAAUUUUUUUUUCUGAUUUUUUAUUCUUUUUUUAAUUUAAAGCAUUAUUUGAGUGAAAAGAAACUUAUUGCAACAAAUUCCCAUUAAAAUAUAUCACAUUUAAAAAUUUUGCUACAUUGCUCAAAAAUGAGGAAAAUUUUACAUUUUUUCAAAUAGGGUAUGGAACUUGGUUCCUCGAAUAACUUCUGGCACAGACAUCUGAGGGCAUGGCCGUCCAAGAAGAAAAUGUAGCCCUUGGUGCCAUCUAUCGACCACAGGUUAAAGAUUGGAGAUCCGUUGGAUACCGACCGAGUUAUAGGCAAAAGUUGGCGCAAAAAUGAGGAAAAUUUUACAUUUUUUCAAACAGGGUAUGGAACUUGGUUCCUCGAAUAACUUCUGGCACAGACAUCUGAGGGCAUAGCCGUCCAAGAAGAAAAUGUAGCCAUUGAUGCCAUCUAUCGACCACAGGUUAAAGAUUGGAGAUCCGUUAGAUACCGACCGAGUUAUAGGCAAAAGUUGGUGCAAAAAUGAGGAAAAUUUUACAUUUUCUCAAACAGGGUAAGGAGCUUGGUUCCUCGAAUAACUUCUGGCACAGACAUCUGAGGGCAUGGCCGUCCAAGAAGAAAAUGUAGCCAUUGAUGCCAUCUAUCCACCACAGGUUAAAGAUUGGAGAUCCGUUGGAUACCGACCGAGUUAUAGGCAAAAGUUGGUGCAAAAAUGAGGAAAAUUUAACAUUUUUUCAAACAGGGUAAGGAACUUGGUUCCUCGAAUAACUUCUGGCACAGACAUCUGAGGGCAUGGCCGUCCAAGAAGAAAAUGUAGCCAUUGGUGCCAUCUAUCGACCACAGGUUAAAGAUUGGAGAUCCGUUAGAUACCGACCGAGUUAUAGGCAAAAGUUGGUGCAAAAAUGAGCCCUAAUAAAUUUUCAUUUUUUUGAAUUUUUUGAUUUUUUCAUUAUUUUUCACUCUUUUUUUUAUUUGAAACAUUAUUUGAGUGAAAAGUAACUCAUUGCAACCAAUUGGCAUCAAAAUAAAACAGUUUAAAUUUUUUUGCAAAAUUUCCCAAAAAAAUCGUAAGGGGUAAGCCUUAUGAAAUUUUCGAGUAGAAAAUUUUUUAAAAAUUUUUUUCUGAUUUUUUAUUCUUUUUUUAAUUUAAAGCAUUAUUUGAGUGAAAAGAAACUUAUUGCAACAAAUUCCCAUUAAAAUAUAUCACAUUUAAAAAUUUUGCUACAUUGCUCAAAAAUGAGGAAAAUUUAACAUUUUUUCAAAUAGGGUAUGGAACUUGAUUCCUCGAAUAACUUCUGGCACAGACAUCUGAGGGCAUGGCCGUCCAAGAAGAAAAUGUAGCCAUUGAUGCCAUCUAUCGACCACAGGUUAAAGAUUGGAGAUCCGUUGGAUACCGACCGAGUUAUAGGCAAAAGUUGGCGCAAAAAUGAGGAAAAUUUUACAUUUUUUCAAACAGGGUAUGGAACUUGGUUCCUCGAAUAACUUCUGGCACAGACAUCUGAGGGCAUAGCCGUCCAAGAAGAAAAUGUAGCCAUUGAUGCCAUCUAUCGACCACAGGUUAAAGAUUGGAGAUCCGUUAGAUACCGACCGAGUUAUAGGCAAAAGUUGGUGCAAAAAUGAGGAAAAUUUUACAUUUUCUCAAACAGGGUAAGGAGCUUGGUUCCUCGAAUAACUUCUGGCACAGACAUCUGAGGGCAUGGCCGUCCAAGAAGAAAAUGUAGCCAUUGAUGCCAUCUAUCCACCACAGGUUAAAGAUUGGAGAUCCGUUGGAUACCGACCGAGUUAUAGGCAAAAGUUGGUGCAAAAAUGAGGAAAAUUUAACAUUUUUUCAAACAGGGUAAGGAACUUGGUUCCUCGAAUAACUUCUGGCACAGACAUCUGAGGGCAUGGCCGUCCAAGAAGAAAAUGUAGCCAUUGAUGCCAUCUAUCGACCACAGGUUAAAGAUUGGAGAUCCGUUGGAUACCGACCGAGUUAUAGGCAAAAGUUGGUGCAAAAAUGAGGAAAAUUUUACAUUUUUUCAAACAGGGUAUGGAACUUGGUUCCUCGAAUAACUUCUGGCACAGACAUCUGAGGGCAUGGCCGUCCAAGAAGAAAAUGUAGUGCUUGAUGCCAUCUAUCGACCACAGGUUAAAGAUUGGAGAUCCGUUAGAUACCGACCGAGUUAUAGGCAAAAGUUGGUGCAAAAAUGAGCCUUAAUAAAUUUUCUUUUUUUUUGAAUUUUUUGAUUUUUUCAUUAUUUUUCACUCUUUUUUUUAUUUGAAACAUUAUUUGAGUGAAAAGUAACUCAUUGCAACCAAUUGGCAUCAAAAUAAAACAAUUUAAAUUUUUUUGCAAAAUUUCCCAAAAAAAUCGUAAGGGGUAAGCCUUAUGAAAUUUUCGAGUUGAAAAUUUUUUAAAAUUUUUUUUUCUGAUUUUUUAUUCUUUUUUUAAUUUAAAGCAUUAUUUGAGUGAAAAGAAACUUAUUGCAACAAAUUCCCAUUAAAAUAUAUCACAUUUAAAAAUUUUGCUACAUUGCUCAAAAAUGAGGAAAAUUUAACAUUUUUUCAAACAGGGUAUGGAACUUGGUUCCUCGAAUAACUUCUGGCACAGACAUCUGAGGGCAUGGCCGUCCAAGAAGAAAAUGUAGCCCUUGGUGCCAUCUAUCGACCACAGGUUAAAGAUUGGCGAUCCGUUGGAUACCGACCGAGUUAUAGGUAAAAGUUGGUGCAAAAAUGAGGAAAAUUUUACAUUUUUUCAAACAGGGUAUGGAACUUGGUUCCUCGAAUAACUUCUGGCACAGACAUCUGAGGGCAUGGCCGUCCAAGAAGAAAAUGUAGCCAUUGAUGCCAUCUAUCGACCACAGGUUAAAGAUUGGAGAUCCGUUAGAUACCGACCGAGUUAUAGGCAAAAGUUGGUGCAAAAAUGAGCCUUAAUAAAUUUUCAUUUUUUUGAAUUUUUUGAUUUUUUCAUUAUUUUUCACUCUUUUUUUUAUUUGAAACAUUAUUUGAGUGAAAAGUAACUCAUUGCAACCAAUUGGCAUCAAAAUAAAACAAUUUAAAUUUUUUUUGCAAAAUUUCCCAAAAAAAUCCUAAGGGGUAAGCCUUAUGAAAUUUUCGAGUUGAAAAUUUUUUAAAAAUUUUUUUCUGAUUUUUUAUUCUUUUUUUAAUUUAAAGCAUUAUUUGAGUGAAAAGAAACUUAUUGCAACAAAUUCCCAUUAAAAUAUAUCACAUUUAAAAAUUUUGAUACAUUGCUCAAAAAUGAGGAAAAUUUAACAUUUUUUCAAACAGGGUAUGGAACUUGGUUCCUCGAAUAACUUCUGGCACAGACAUCUGAGGGCAUGGCCGUCCAAGAAGAAAAUGUAGCCAUUGAUGCCAUCUAUCAACCACAGGUUAAAGAUUGGAGAUCCGUUGGAUACCGACCGAGUUAUAGGCAAAAGUUGGCGCAAAAAUGAGGAAAAUUUAACAUUUUUUCAAACAGGGUAUGGAACUUGGUUCCUCGAAUAACUUCUGGCACAGACAUCUGAGGGCAUGGCCGUCCAAGAAGAAAAUGUAGCCAUUGGUGCCACCUAUCAACCACAGGUUAAAGAUUGGAGAUCCGUUGGAUACUGACCGAGUUAUAGGCAAAAGUUGGUGCAAAAAUGAGCCUUAAUAAAUUUUCAUUUUUUUGAAUUUUUUGAUUUUUUCAUUAUUUUUCACUCUUUUUUUUAUUUGAAACAUUAUUUGAGUGAAAAGUAACUCAUUGCAACCAAUUGGCAUCAAAAUAAAACAAUUUAAAUUUUUUUUGCAAAAUUUCCCAAAAAAAUCCUAAGGGGUAAGCCUUAUGAAAUUUUCGAGUUGAAAAUUUUUUAAAAAUUUUUUUCUGAUUUUUUAUUCUUUUUUUAAUUUAAAGCAUUAUUUGAGUGAAAAGAAACUUAUUGCAACAAAUUCCCAUUAAAAUAUAUCACAUUUAAAAAUUUUGAUACAUUGCUCAAAAAUGAGGAAAAUUUAACAUUUUUUCAAACAGGGUAUGGAACUUGGUUCCUCGAAUAACUUCUGGCACAGACAUCUGAGGGCAUGGCCGUCCAAGAAGAAAAUGUAGCCAUUGAUGCCAUCUAUCAACCACAGGUUAAAGAUUGGAGAUCCGUUGGAUACCGACCGAGUUAUAGGCAAAAGUUGGCGCAAAAAUGAGGAAAAUUUAACAUUUUUUCAAACAGGGUAUGGAACUUGGUUCCUCGAAUAACUUCUGGCACAGACAUCUGAGGGCAUGGCCGUCCAAGAAGAAAAUGUAGCCAUUGAUGCCAUCUAUCAACCACAGGUUAAAGAUUGGAGAUCCGUUAGAUACCGACCGAGUUAUAGGCAAAAGUUGGUGCAAAAAUGAGACUUAAUAAAUUUUUAUUUUUUUGAAUUUUUUGAUUUUUUCAUUAUUUUUCACUCUUUUUUUUAUUUGAAACAUUAUUUGAGUGAAAAGUAACUCAUUGCAACCAAUUGGCAUCAAAAUAAAACAAUUUAAAUUUUUUUGCAAAAUUUCCCAAAAAAAUCCUAAGGGGUAAGCCUUAUGAAAUUUUCGAGUUGAAAAUUUUUAAAAAUUUUUUUUCUGAUUUUUUAUUCUUUUUUUAAUUUAAAGCAUUAUUUGAGUGAAAAGAAACUUAUUGCAACAAAUUCCCAUUAAAAUAUAUCACAUUUAAAAAUUUUGAUACAUUGCUCAAAAAUGAGGAAAAUUUAACAUUUUCUCAAACAGGGUAUGGAACUUGGUUCCUCGAAUAACUUCUGGCACAGACAUCUGAGGGCAUGGCCGUCCAAGAAGAAAAUGUAGCCAUUGAUGCCACCUAUCAACCACAGGUUAAAGAUUGGAGAUCCGUUGGAUACCGACCGAGUUAUAGGCAAAAGUUGGCGCAAAAAUGAGGAAAAUUUUACAUUUUCUCAAACAGGGUAAGGAACUUUGUUCGUCGAGUAACUUCUGGCACAGACAUCUGAGGGCAUGGCCGUCCAAGAAGAAAAUGUAGCCAUUGAUGCCAUCUAUCGACCACAGGUUAAAGAUUGGAGAUCCGUUAGAUACCGACCGAGUUAUAGGCAAAAGUUGGUGCAAAAAUGAGCCUUAAUAAAUUUUCAUUUUUUUGAAUUUUUUGAUUUUUUCAUUAUUUUUCACUCUUUUUUUUAUUUGAAACAUUAUUUGAGUGAAAAGUAACUCAUUGCAACCAAUUGGCAUCAAAAUAAAACAAUUUAAAUUUUUUUGCAAAAUUUCCCAAAAAAAUCGUAAGGGGUAAGCCUUAUAAAAUUUUCGAGUUGAAAAUUUUUUAAAAAUUUUUUUCUGAUUUUUUAUUCUUUUUUUAAUUUAAAGCAUUAUUUGAGUGAAAAGAAACUUAUUGCAACAAAUUCCCAUUAAAAUAUAUCACAUUUAAAAAUUUUGAUACAUUGCUCAAAAAUGAGGAAAAUUUAACAUUUUUUCAAACAGGGUAUGGAACUUGGUUCCUCGAAUAACUUCUGGCACAGACAUCUGAGGGCAUGGCCGUCCAAGAAGAAAAUGUAGCCAUUGAUGCCAUCUAUCGACCACAGGUUAAAGAUUGGAGAUCCGUUGGAUACCGACCGAGUUAUAGGCAAAAGUUGGCGCAAAAAUGAGGAAAAUUUAACAUUUUUUCAAACAGGGUAUGGAACUUGGUUCCUCGAAUAACUUCUGGCACAGACAUCUGAGGGCAUGGCCGUCCAAGAAGAAAAUGUAGCCAUUGGUGCCACCUAUCAACCACAGGUUAAAGAUUGGAGAUCCGUUGGAUACCGACCGAGUUAUAGGCAAAAGUUGGUGCAAAAAUGAGCCUCAAUAAAUUUUCAUUUUUUUGAAUUUUUUGAUUUUUUCAUUAUUUUUCACUCUUUUUUUUAUUUGAAACAUUAUUUGAUUGAAAAGUAACUCAUUGCAACCAAUUGGCAUCAAAAUAAAACAAUUUAAUUUUUUUUGCAAAAUUUUCCAAAAAAAUCGUAAGGGGUAAGCCUUAUGAAAUUUUCGAGUUGAAAAUUUUUUAAAAUUUUUUUUCUGAUUUUUUAUUCUUUUUUUAAUUUAAAGCAUUAUUUGAGUGAAAAGAAACAUACUUGAACCAAUUGGUAUUAAAAUAAAUCAACUUAUAAAAUUUUGCUAAAUUACUCAUUAAAAGCUUAGGCUUUUUUUUGUAGAAGAUUUUCAAAUGGGAGCUCAUCGCACAAUCGCACAAGCGCUGCGUACGGAGCUACCUCUUUUUUGCAUGGGCUGUGCGGGAGCGCGCACAAUAAGAUGAGCAGAGCGAUUGAGGUACCUCUUUCGCUUUUGAUCCGACACUACACAUGUUAUCAUUGAUACUAAUUCGAGAUCCUCGUUUAUUAAUCCAAUGGAUGGAGAGAGAUGAGCGAUCACCUUCUGGUAGAUCUGGUAACCUACUCCGUUGGAUGCUCUCUUGGUGUUGAAAACACGUUUUGGAUUUUGGUGUUGAAAAAUCAGUUUGGUCCGUUUUUACCGGUCGUUUGAUUGAUUGUUACCGCCUCUGUUAGAUGUGUUGAAAAAUCGAUUUUUUAUGUUUUUAUCGCUCGAUAAGGGAGGGCAAGAGAGCAAAGCGACGAACAAUAUUUCAAUUUUUAGCGAUCGAUUUAGGUUAAAGCGACGA